rnacentral:rRNA from 1 species
UACUAGAGUAGCACUCGCAUAUCAAUAAGCGGAGGAAAAGAAACUAACAAGGAUUCCCCUAGUAACGGCGAGUGAAGCGGGAAGAGCUCAAAUUUGAAAUCUUAAAGGGUUUCCCUUUACGAAUUGUAGUUUAAAGAAGUGUUUUCUGUUGAGGUUUUGGUAAAAGUUCUUUGGAAUAGGACAUCAUAGAGGGUGAGAAUCCCGUAUUUGACCUUUACUUUCAACUUUGUGAUACACUUUCAAAGAGUCGGAUUGUUUGGGAGUGCAGUCCAAAAUGGGUGGUAAAUUUCAUCUAAAGCUAAAUAUUGGCGAGAGACCGAUAGCGAACAAGUACCGUGAGGGAAAGAUGAAAAGAACUUUGAAAAGAGAGUUAAACAGUACGUGAAAUUGUCAAAAGGGAAGCGUUUGACACCAGUGUUGUUUUUCUGAAAAUCAAUUAAAGAACUGUUUAUGCUAAGCUGUUUAGACUUUAUCAGCUAAUCUGUUUAGUUUGAGCUUUUCUUUAAUGCACUUUUCAGUUAACAAGUCAACAUCAAUUUCUUUUGCUGUAAAAAAGCUUGAGGAAGGUGGCUUGAGAUUCGUCUUAAGUGUUUAUAGCCUCUUGCCUAUGCAGUCGGAGAGAUUGAGGUCUGCAGCGUAGAUCCUUCGGGGCUAAAUGCAUUUGUGCUAAGUUAUAGCAUUUUAUAGACAACUUGUUGACUAUGAUUUGUCUUGUAGCUUACUCGCUUAUGUUAUUUUACCUACGCUUAGGAUGUUGAACUCUAUCACACACAG